CUUGACCGAACCGAGCCACAGCGGCCGCGUACGGUCCUGCCCGUACGUGGCCAGCAGGGCCUGCGCCUC
rnacentral:antisense_RNA from 1 species